rnacentral:rRNA from 1 species
UACGGAGGUGGCGAGCGUUACUCGGAAUCAUUGGGUGUAAAGGGCAAGUAGGCGGCCAGAUAAGUGAGGGGUGAAAUCUUCCGACUCAAUCGGGAAACUGCCUUUCAAACUAUCUGGCUUGAGAUUGGAAGAGGGAAUCGGAAUUAGCGGUGUAAGGGUGAAAUCUGUAGAUAUCGCUAAGAACACCGGCGGCGAAGGCGGGUCCUGGUCCAACUCUGACGCUGAACUGCGAAAGCUAGGGGAGCGAACAGA